rnacentral:rRNA from 1 species
CUUGAUUAAACCAUAAGAGGUCCAGCCUGCCCAGUGACAUUGUUCAACGGCCGCGGUAUCCUAACCGUGCGAAGGUAGCGUAAUCACUUGUCCUUUAAAUGAAGACUAGUAUGAAUGGCCCCACGAAAGCUAUACUGUCUCCUUUUUCUAAUCAGUUAAACUAAUCUCCCCGUGAAGAAGCGGGGAUAAACAUAUAAGACGAGAAGACCCUAUGGAGCUUUAAACAACUGAAACAUUUGUAUACCUCCCUUCACCUACCCACAUUUAACUCCACAUUUUGUUUCUAGUUUUAGGUUGGGGUGACCACGGAGAAAAAACUAACCUCCACGAUGAAAGAGACAUCUCUAAACAAAAAGCUACAUCUUUAUGUAUUAAUACAUUAACCUUUAUUGACCCAAUAAAUUGAUCAACGAAC